rnacentral:lncRNA from 1 species
AAAAAAGGAGCUGAUCAAAACCAAUAAAAAAAUACAAACAAAAGAAAAAUCUGGAAUAAACCAAUGUGCCUGAAACAAAGAAAAGAAAUGCAGAUAAUUGGAUCUUCAUGACAUUUUCCCAACUGGCCACUUUCCCUGUAACAAGACCAAGCCUGUCUCUUCCAUUGUACUCUCGUGAGCUACCUGGGUCAGAACCUGAAAUCUUG